AUUGAACGCUGGCGGCACGCUUUACACAUGCAAGUCGAACGGUAACAGGGUGCCUGCACCGCUGACGAGUGGCGAACGGGCGAGUAAUGCGUCGGAACGUGCCGAGUAGUGGGGGAUAACGCAGCGAAAGUUGUGCUAAUACCGCAUACGUACUGAGGUAGAAAGUGGGGGACCUUCGGGCCUCACGCUAUUCGAGCGGCCGACGUCUGAUUAGCUAGUAGGUGAGGUAAAGGCUCACCUAGGCGACGAUCAGUAGCGGGUCUGAGAGGAUGAUCCGCCACACUGGGACUGAGACACGGCCCAGACUCCUACGGGAGGCAGCAGUGGGGAAUUUUGGACAAUGGGCGAAAGCCUGAUUCAGCCAUGCCGCGUGUCUGAAGAAGGCCUUCGGGUUGUAAAGGACUUUUGUCGGGGAGGAAAUCCCCAGCGUUAAUACCGCUGGGGGAUGACAGUACCUGAAGAAUAAGCACCGGCUAACUACGUGCCAGCCACCGCCGUAA
rnacentral:rRNA from 1 species